rnacentral:rRNA from 1 species
AGAGUUUGAUCCUGGCUCAGGAUGAACGCUAGCUACAGGCUUAACACAUGCAAGUCGAGGGGCAGCAUGGUCUUAGCUUGCUAAGGCCGAUGGCGACCGGCGCACGGGUGAGUAACACGUAUCCAACCUGCCGUCUACUCUUGGACAGCCUUCUGAAAGGAAGAUUAAUACAAGAUGGCAUCAUGAGUCCGCAUGUUCACAUGAUUAAAGGUAUUCCGGUAGACGAUGGGGAUGCGUUCCAUUAGAUAGUAGGCGGGGUAACGGCCCACCUAGUCUUCGAUGGAUAGGGGUUCUGAGAGGAAGGUCCCCCACAUUGGAACUGAGACACGGUCCAAACUCCUACGGGAGGCAGCAGUGAGGAAUAUUGGUCAAUGGGCGAGAGCCUGAACCAGCCAAGUAGCGUGAAGGAUGACUGCCCUAUGGGUUGUAAACUUCUUUUAUAAAGGAAUAAAGUCGGGUAUGGAUACCCGUUUGCAUGUACUUUAUGAAUAAGGAUCGGCUAACUCCGUGCCAGCAGCCGCGGUAAUACGGAGGAUCCGAGCGUUAUCCGGAUUUAUUGGGUUUAAAGGGAGCGUAGAUGGAUGUUUAAGUCAGUUGUGAAAGUUUGCGGCUCAACCGUAAAAUUGCAGUUGAUACUGGAUAUCUUGAGUGCAGUUGAGGCAGGCGGAAUUCGUGGUGUAGCGGUGAAAUGCUUAGAUAUCACGAAGAACUCCGAUUGCGAAGGCAGCCUGCUAAGCUGCAACUGACAUUGAGGCUCGAAAGUGUGGGUAUCAAACAGGAUUAGAUACCCUGGUAGUCCACACGGUAAACGAUGAAUACUCGCUGUUUGCGAUAUACUGCAAGCGGCCAAGCGAAAGCGUUAAGUAUUCCACCUGGGGAGUACGCCGGCAACGGUGAAACUCAAAGGAAUUGACGGGGGCCCGCACAAGCGGAGGAACAUGUGGUUUAAUUCGAUGAUACGCGAGGAACCUUACCCGGGCUUAAAUUGCAGAUGAAUUACGGUGAAAGCCGUAAGCCGCAAGGCAUCUGUGAAGGUGCUGCAUGGUUGUCGUCAGCUCGUGCCGUGAGGUGUCGGCUUAAGUGCCAUAACGAGCGCAACCCUUGUUGUCAGUUACUAACAGGUUCCGCUGAGGACUCUGACAAGACUGCCAUCGUAAGAUGUGAGGAAGGUGGGGAUGACGUCAAAUCAGCACGGCCCUUACGUCCGGGGCUACACACGUGUUACAAUGGGGGGUACAGAGGGCCGCUACCAUGCGAGUGGAUGCCAAUCCCAAAAACCUCUCUCAGUUCGGACUGGAGUCUGCAACCCGACUCCACGAAGCUGGAUUCGCUAGUAAUCGCGCAUCAGCCACGGCGCGGUGAAUACGUUCCCGGGCCUUGUACACACCGCCCGUCAAGCCAUGGGAGCCGGGGGUACCUGAAGUGCGUAACCGCGAGGAGCGCCCUAGGGUAAAACUGGUGACUGGGGCUAAGUCGUAACAAGGUAGCCGUACCGGAAGGUGCGGCUGGAACACCU